rnacentral:rRNA from 1 species
GGCGGGGUAGAGGCCCGCCGCGGUAACGACGGGUAACGGGGAAUCAGGGUUCGAUUCCGGAGAGGGAGCCCGAGAAACGGCUACCACUUCCAAGGAAGGCAGCAGGCGCGCAACUUACCCUAAUCUCGAUUCGAGGAGGUAGUGACAAGAAAUACCGAUGCGGGACCCUACGGGUGCCGCGUUCGGAAUGAGUACGAUUCGAACCACCUAACGAGGAACGAUCGGAGGGCAAGUCUGGUGCCAGCAGCCGCGGUAAUUCCAGCUCCAAUAGCGUACGUUAAAGUUGCUGCAGUUAAAAAGCUCGUAGUUGAACGUUCGGGUUCCGCGGGACGGGGCCGCCCCGCGAGGGACGGCGCCGCCCCGGGGCUCGUGAUAUCUUAUCUCGCCGCCCGUCGCGAGGCGGACGGAGGGAUGGAUGAGGUUACCUGGAAAAAAUCGGG